rnacentral:lncRNA from 1 species
AGAGCGAUUGCAGAUCUCUUCUGCAACAUCGCUGAAGAACCAUGCUUCAAUCAGCUGAGGUCAUUAUAUAUAGCUUUUCUGCGCUCUGAUUUCAUGCUUCUGUGUGAGACCUGCAUUAAAGGAUUUCUGAAAUUUUCUGUGCUGCUCUCUGAUCUUUGUAACGUUUUAUUGCCUGCAUUAAAUUAUAUAGAACAAAGGAGCAGCUCGGCUAUUCCGUUGACUGUGGCACGCGGAUGACCUACCGUGUUCAAGGAUUUUGCUUCAGAGUCCAGUCUUCCAAAUACACCCCAUCUUACCUGCAUCGAAGGAUUACGAACUUCAUUGACAGCCUUCAAGAAAUCCUGGUGAGCGAGGUUCUUGAUGAUUAUGGGGGGGGCUACAAGCUACCUCCUUUUUAUUAUUCCUCCCUCGUGAUUUUAUUCCUCCCCUUGUGGAUUCCGCAUCUCAUUCUUCAUGAAAUCCUGCUUGAAAACUAUGAAACGUAGUACUUAAUGAUGCAAAAAAAUGUGGCAAUCAAUGAAAACGACUGAAAGUACCAUUCGGAGCGAGGGAAUCAGCCAGUGAUUCGAUAAAUCUACCUGCAUUCGAUCAUAUGAAGGAACUCAAGAGUGUUGUUCUCGCAGAGUGAUCUCGACGAUGAAUCGUUCGACCACCAUAGACAGGGGUUGAUCGCGCAGAAGCUGGAGAAGGACCCCUCGCUCGCCUAUGAGACCG